rnacentral:rRNA from 1 species
CCUACGGGUGGCUGCAGUGAGGAAUAUUGGUCAAUGGCCGCGAGCCUGAACCAGCCAAGUAGCGUGAAGGCUGACUGCCCUACGGAUUGUAAACUUCUUUUAUAAGGGAACAAAGUGUGGCACGUGUGCCCUGAUGUAUGUACCUUAUGAAUAAGCAUCGGCUAACUCCGUGCCAGCAGCCGCGGUAAUACGGAGGAUGCGAGCGUUAUCCGGCUUUAUUGGGUUUAAAGGGAGCGUAGAUGGGUUGUUAAGUCAGUGGUUAAAGUUUGCGGCGCAACCGUAACAUUGCAGUGGAUACUGGCAGUCUUGAGUACGGUUGAGGUAGGCGGAAUGCGUGGUGUAGCGGUGAAAUGCUUAGAGAUCGCGAAGAACUCCGAUUGCGAAGGCAGCAUACU